rnacentral:rRNA from 1 species
GACGAACGCUGGCGGCGUGCCUAAUACAUGCAAGUCGAGCGAGCUUGCCUAGAUGAAUUUGGUGCUUGCACCAGAUGAAACUAGAUACAAGCGAGCGGCGGACGGGUGAGUAACACGUGGGUAACCUGCCCAAGAGACUGGGAUAACACCUGGAAACAGAUGCUAAUACCGGAUAACAACACUAGACGCAUGUCUAGAGUUUAAAAGAUGGUUCUGCUAUCACUCUUGGAUGGACCUGCGGUGCAUUAGCUAGUUGGUAAGGCAACGGCUUACCAAGGCAAUGAUGCAUAGCCGAGUUGAGAGACUGAUCGGCCACAUUGGAACUGAGACACGGCCCAAACUCCUACGGGAGGCAGCAGUAGGGAAUCUUCCACAAUGGACGCAAGUCUGAUGGAGCAACGCCGCGUGAGUGAAGAAGGGUUUCGGCUCGUAAAGCUCUGUUGGUAGUGAAGAAAGAUAGAGGUAGUAACUGGCCUUUAUUUGACGGUAAUUACUUAGAAAGUCACGGCUAACUACGUG